GACGAGCGCUGGCGGUGUGCUUAACACAUGCAAGUCGAACGGUAAGGCCCUUUCGGGGGUACACGAGUGGCGCACGGGUGAGUAACACGUGAGUAACCUGCCCUCAUCUCUGGGAUAACAGUCGGAAACGGUUGCUAAUACUGGAUAUGAGCUUGCAAGGCAUCUUGUGGGUUGGAAAGAUUUUUUUUGGUUGGGGAUGGACUCGCGGCCUAUCAGCUUGUUGGUGAGGUAGUGGCUCACCAAGGCUUCGACGGGUAGCCGGCCUGAGAGGGCGACCGGCCACAUUGGGACUGAGAUACGGCCCAAACUCCUACGGGAGGCAGCAGUGGGGAAUAUUGCACAAUGGACGGAAGUCUGAUGCAGCAACGCCGCGUGCGGGAUGACGGCCUUCGGGUUGUAAACCGCUUUCAAUUGUGACGAAGCUUUUUUGUGACGGUAGCAGUAGAAGAAGCACCGGCUAACUACGUG
rnacentral:rRNA from 1 species